GCGCGCAUGAGCGGUGGACAGGGGUCAGCGCGUCAGAAGGCUCUGAAGUGAGAGAGGCGAAGCCCCUGUCCCCAGUGUGUCACCGCGCCGGUGCUCCAAGAUUCCAGCGUGUUCCGUGCGCACGCGUGUCAUUUUUAAAGCGCACUGGGCUCGACACGUAUGUGUCGCUCUUCAUUCCGGGGCACUGCUGCCAGCGUCUUGGUGGCCCAGGCAGCACUGCUAAGUGCUACAGGAGACCUGUUUGAACAAACAUGAUUCCCAGGGGUGGAGAUACCAUUACAGACUGUGUUUUAUGCUGUGACUCCGUGAUGGUGGCAGAAGGGAGUACGAUUGCCCGAACCCCUAUCGAAAGUCCUCUGACCCUUCAUCGCCUCAGACCUGGACUGCUCUUUCCCCACCUAAAAGUGCAGUAUAACCCUUCCUGCUCCCUGCACAAGGUCUCCCAGGGGCGACAGGUACUGUGCACACCUAGGAGCCAUCCACAGAGAAACAGAAGCCUGCUUGGUGCUGUGGCUUCACGAAGACGCCUAAACAGCAGUUUCCAUCCCAACCUCUCUCCCCGAGCUGAGCUGCACCAAAGUGUUCCGGCCCGGCCACAGCCAAUUCUGUGACAGGUCUGUAAAACAAACUCUUCCACCUGUAGGUUUCGCUUGUCACAUGGCUGGGAAGCAAGGGACACACAACCUGAGAAAGCGUGUUCAGCUUCAUUUUUUUUUUUUUACUUUUUUUUAUUUAAAUAAGGAGAGUUCUUUCAUAUGGAAAGAGCUAGUACAAUCACAUAUUUGAAAGGAGAAACAACAGGUACUGAACUGGAGGGAAGGGAGAGUGAGCAUCCAGCACAGCCAGGCGAAUCCAUGUUCCCAUUUCCCAUCCGAGGUCAGAUUUCCCCAAACACGUAUAAACAAGUUGCACAGUACACCUUUAGCCAUCGUCUGCCCUUUCAAAUAUCUGGUCUACAUGAAAAGACAAAGGGAGGAAAGGCCAAAAUAAAACAAAAGGAAACAAACAAAAAACCCGCUCAAAAAACAAAACCCCCCAAAAUCCUUUUUACUACACAAGGCGUGAGGUCAAAAGCUGAAGAGUACAGAAUCCCUUUACACAGUGGAAGAAGGCGCUCCGCACAGAGCCUUAACAAGAAUUUCCACUCCGAGGCUUCCUGACACACGAAGGCAGGGGACUGCUGCCAUCUUGGAGGCCACCAAGCUGGGGUGGAGAAAUAGUGAAUGGCGGGCCUUCCACGCCUCGAUGGUCACUAGCCAGACCUGUUGAUGGCCCUGCUGGAGAACAUGACUGGGUGACUGUCCCCAACUCUACGCCACUCCUGUCCAGAUGACCUUGUCUUAGGUCACCUGUCUCAUAUUCAGAAUUGGCUUUUUGGAAAUCUGCAUUUCCCUUUCAUCACAGAACACGACAAAGCGCACACACACCCCAGUAUUACUGGCCAUCAAAGGCCAUUUCCAACAGACCCUCUAACCCUGGCUUGCUCUGCACGAAGCAAAAAGGGACGAGAGAGGUUCGAAGGACAACAUGCAGCUCCUUGGCAGAGGGGAAGCCAGUGGGUGGCAGGGGAGGGGCCUCACCAGACCUGCCCGUGCUGCCUCCGCACCCAGUGCACACUCGCACCCUGGGCUCGGUGACAAAAACCUCACCACUGAACAUCUGGAAGGCAGAUCCAGAAGCCAGGAGGGCACUGGCGAUGUUCAAGUUACUCCAGUAUCCAUCCCUACAAGCAGCUGGCGUGACCACAGCUUUGGAACGGAACCAACUUUUCUGAAUGUGUAUUAAAGUCCUCGUUUGUUCCCUCUUAAGGAACCCAGAACCAGAAGGGUUCUAUGAAUUCCAAGUUUGAAAAUAAUAAUGGAACUAAAACAGGAAGCAGCAGUUACAAAAUGAGAUCAAAUGCAGCUGGCAGCACAGUUUUCAGAGGGUGGAUGUUCAAUCCCAGAUGUCCUACACUUCAGUUUCACUCCACUAAGCUGUCAGCAGAGGACCAACACUACUGCAGAGUCACUGGCUGCCAAGCAACGGGUAGUACCAUCAGUGUCUUGGCAAAACCGCCAGCAUCCAGCAGUGACUGAGGAGGUCGCGGUGAGAAGAUUGUGCACUCACUCACCUGCCCCUAACCACCUCAGCAUUAGAAAAGGCAGGCGCUGGGAUUCACCUAUUCCAGCCAAAGGCCACAGCAUCCUGGCAAAGCCUCUGUGUGCAUAUCUGCAAUCUGAGGGUGGGGGUUGGAAACUAAAACAAGACCCCAAGUCCUAUUGCCUUGAGCUUUGCUCUAAAACCACAUGAAAGAGAUAUU